UACGUAGGGACCGAGCGUUGUCCGGAAUCAUUGGGCGUAAAGAGCGUGUAGGCGGCUGACCAAGUCCUGCGUGAAAUCUUGCGGCUCAACCGCAAGCGGUCGUGGGAAACUGGUCGGCUAGAGUGCGGGAGAGGAGAGUGGAAUUCCUGGUGUAGCGGUGAAAUGCGUAGAUAUCUGGAGGAACACCGGUGGCGAAGGCGGCAUCCUGGACCAACACUGACACUGAGGAGCGAAAGCCAGGGGAGCAAACGGG
rnacentral:rRNA from 1 species